UGUGGCAACAGAUAAACUCGUAUUUGGGACUGGGAUCGCUUUUUCAGUUGAGCCAAGUAAUCAAGAAGAAUCUGCCCCAGAAAUCAUUGUGCUUAAAUCAAAGAUACCCAAACAAUGUGGCAACAAAGUGAACAUGGCUUGUUUGGCAAGGACUUUCUACCCUAAGAACAUCAGCCUUGAUGUGGCCAAGGGUGACAUUGUAUACAAUCUGAAGGCACCUCUUGUAACAUCUGAGGGGGUGUAUAGUACCAUGAAGGUAGUUGAACUGGAACCAGAUGCAGAGGAUACCUGCAAGGACAUGCACAAGAGGAACAAGACCAAAGCCAGCAGAAUUCUGCCAGAAGAGAAAAAUGAAGAACUGGAAACAGUUAAUGCUUGCAACCUUACAGAUGCCCCUACAAAAGAUGCCAAGGAGAAAGUGAAUAUGCUGUUCAUGGCUGUUUUGGGUUUGAGAGUCCUGCUGGCAAAAAGCAUCGCCUUCAACACAAUCAUGAGUAUCAAGCUGUUUCUGUUCUGAGGUAGGAAACACCAUCUCAGGUUCCAUCAGAAAUCUACUGGUUGUUUCAAGUAGCAGAGCACAACAUCUGGAUAAAAGUCCAGAUCAGCAAGAACUAUAAAGGGACAAUCUCAAAAGCCAAUAAAUGUGAAAAAGGGAAUGCAAAAAGGAGGCGGAAGAAUUCUGAAGAUGAGGUAG